rnacentral:rRNA from 1 species
AACGAACGCUGGCGGCAUGCCUAACACAUGCAAGUCGAACGAGACCUUCGGGUCUAGUGGCGCACGGGUGCGUAACGCGUGGGAACCUGCCCUUAGGUUCGGAAUAACUCCCCGAAAGGGGUGCUAAUACCGGAUAAUGUCUUCGGACCAAAGAUUUAUCGCCUUUGGAUGGGCCCGCGUUGGAUUAGCUAGUUGGUAGGGUAAAAGCCUACCAAGGCGACGAUCCAUAGCUGGUCUGAGAGGAUGAUCAGCCACACUGGGACUGCGACACGGCCCAGACUCGUACGGGAGGCAGGAGUGGGGAAUAUAGGAGACUGGGCGAAAGCCUGAUAAAGCAAUGCGGCGUGAGUGAGGAAGGCCUUAGGGUUGUAAAGCUCUUUUACACGGGAUGAUAAUGACAGUACCGGGAGAAUAAGCACCGGCUAACUCCGUG